UACGUAGGGCGCAAGCGUUGUCCGGAAUUAUUGGGCGUAAAGAGCUCGUAGGCGGCUUGUCACGUCGGAUGUGAAAGCCCGGGGCUUAACCCCGGGUCUGCAUUCGAUACGGGCAGGCUAGAGUUCGGUAGGGGAGAUCGGAAUUCCUGGUGUAGCGGUGAAAUGCGCAGAUAUCAGGAGGAACACCGGUGGCGAAGGCGGAUCUCUGGGCCGAUAUUGACGCUGAGGAGCGAAAGCGUGGGGAGCGAACAGG
rnacentral:rRNA from 1 species